GGACGUGAGGGCGAUCUGGCUGCAGUACCUGUCACCCGAUUGAUCUCGAGGGUUGAUUCGGCUGAUCUGGCUGGCUAGGUGGGUGUCCCCUUCCUCUGUCACCACUCCACGUGUGUCCCUCCCGAAGCUGCGUGCUCAGCUGAAGACAACCAUCCCUGAUAGAGGAGGACUGAUUUUCGGUCAAGGGCAUGUGAGUAGCUGCGCUCCCCUGCUAGAACCUCCAGACAAGCUCUCAGGUUCAGCCAUUGGAAGUAUAUUAACACAUGUUUGCUCCCUGAAAAUGCCCAUUCUCCCUGAGCUUUUGUCUCCAAACAGGAGAGAUGCUGAGUGGG
ensembl:misc_RNA 7SK 7SK RNA